rnacentral:rRNA from 1 species
GAUGAACGCUGGCGGCGUGCCUAAUACAUGCAAGUCGAGCGAACAGACGAGGAGCUCGCUCCUCUGACGUUAGCGGCGGACGGGUGAGUAACACGUGGAUAACCUACCUAUAGGACUGGGAUAACUUCGGGAAACCGGAGCUAACACCGGAUAAUAUAUUGAACCGGAUGGUUCAAUAGUGAAAGACGGUUUUGCUGUCACUUAUACAUGGAUCCGCGCCGCAUUAGCUAGUUGGUAAGGUAACGGCUUACCAAGGCAACGAUGCGUAGCCGACCUGAGAGGAUGAUCGGCCACACUGGAACUGAGACACGGUCCAGACUCCUACGGGAGGCAGCAGUGGGGAAUCUUCCGCAAUGGGCGAAAGCCUGACGGAGCAACGCCGCGUGAGUGAUGAAGGUCUUCGGAUCGUAAAACUCUGUUAUUAGGGAAGAACAAAUGUGUAAGUAACUAUGCACGUCUUGACGGUACCUAAACAGAAAGCAACGGCUAACUACGUG